AUUUUGGUGGUCGGCGUCUAGCUGUUUGAAUUCGGCGGCGUUCGUGGUGGUGAUUGGGGUCGAGCGGUCGGUAUAACAGUCCCGCCGAGGUCGGUAAUAUCGUCCCUCACAGAUAUCCAGCUCCAUCCUUCCCCGUGUUGGUGGCUCCCCGACCCCCGCUAGUGGACGUUUAUACUACAGCGGGCUGUAAAUCCAGCCCGUACUCCAAUUUCCCACGACUCUACUUUGUGGCGUGCAUUUCUGAAAAUGCAACGUCACAAUAUACAUUCUGCUUAAAACCAACCUCUUCUACACUGCAGACAUCUUCAACAAUCAUAAGCAGCAGAAUCAAGCGAUGCUACGCACUAAUCUGCGCGAUAAGGUUCAAGGUUAGGGGAAGAAAACUUCCUACUGCAGGACUGCAUCAGCGAUGCGCAAUUCUGCGAUAUGGGGGUACGUUCAACAUCAAGCAGGCUGAGGGCUGCCGUCCGAAAACUGUGCGGGGGGUCCGUCGAAGCUUCCAGAAGACUCUCCGGGGUGGGUGGCAAGGGACUGUCUCAAAACGUCCCGCGAUGGAUCAUCGGCUCUGGGAGCGACCCUCCACGACUUAGCACGGACACGAACCGUCGAAGCUUCUAGAACGUUCUAGAAUGUUCUAGAAGGUUCUCGAUGGUGUAUAAUUCCUAGAAUCUAGCGCGAAAUCGAGAGCCGACAAAUUUCUUGGAAUCGAUGCUGCUAUUGCAUCCUCGACACGCAAUUCUGCGAGAUAACGUUCAAGGUCAAAUCAG